UGGCUCUCGCAUCGAUGAAGAACGCAGCGAAAUGCGAUAAGUAAUGUGAAUUGCAGAAUUCAGUGAAUCAUCGAAUCUUUGAACGCACCUUGCGCUCCUUGGUAUUCCUCGGAGCAUGCCUGUUUGAGUAUCAUGAAAUUAUCAAAAUAAGUCUUUCGUUAACUCGAUUGAUUUUAUUUUGGACUUGGAGGUCUGCAGAUUCACGUCUGCUCCUCUUAAAUUCAUUAGCUGGAUCUCCGUGAACUCGGUUCCACUCGGCGUGAUAAGUAUCACUCGCUGAGGACACUGUAAAAAGUGGCCGGGGUCGUGGAAGAACUGCUUCUAAUAGUCCAUUGACUUGGACAAUAAAUUCAUUUAUGAUCUGAUCUCAAAUCAGGUAGGACUACCCGCUGA
rnacentral:misc_RNA from 1 species